CCUCCCCACCCCACCCCACCGACGCCCCCGGCCCCAAGCUGCCCUCUAAAACCCUCGCUUUUCCGGCUCCACCAUUCCAUUCCCCUCUCUAUCUCUCUCUCUCUCUCUCUGUUAUCAGAUUCCGACGUAGUUGGUGGGAAAAAUGGGUAGCAGCCAGGCAGCAGUUUCGUUCCUGACCAACAUAGCCCGCGCCGCCUUUGGUUUGGGUAUCGGCGCCACCGUCCUCAACUCCUCCCUCUACACCGUCGACGGAGGGCAGCGGGCUGUCCUCUUCGACCGCUUCCGCGGUGUCAUCGACGACACCGUUGGAGAGGGUACUCACUUCCUCAUCCCCUGGCUCCAGAAGCCCUUCAUCUUUGACAUCCGUACCCGCCCCCACACUUUCUCCUCCAUCUCCGGCACCAAGGAUCUCCAGAUGGUCAACCUCACUCUCCGGGUCCUCUCCCGACCCGAGGUCCCCCGCCUCCCUAUCAUCUUUAAAACCCUUGGCCUCGAGUACGACGAGAAAGUGCUUCCCUCCAUCGGCAACGAGGUCCUCAAGGCCGUUGUCGCCCAGUUCAACGCCGAUCAGUUGCUCACCGAGAGGCCCCACGUCUCUGCUCUGGUUCGUGACAGCUUGGUUCGCCGCGCCAAGGACUUCAACAUCGUGCUGGAUGACGUCGCCAUUACUCACUUGUCCUAUGGGGCCGAGUUCUCCAAGGCCGUGGAGCAGAAGCAGGUGGCUCAACAGGAGGCUGAGCGCUCCAAGUUUGUGGUUAUGAAGGCUGAGCAGGAGCGGAGGGCCGCCAUCAUCAGGGCUGAGGGUGAAAGUGAGGCUGCCAAGUUGAUUUCUCAGGCAACUGAAGCUGCUGGGACUGGUUUGAUUGAGCUCCGGAGAAUUGAGGCUUCCAGGGAGAAUGCUGCCACCUUGUCUAGGAGUGGGAACGUUUGGUACCUCCCCAAGGAAAACAACAUGCUUCUGGGUCUCAAUGCUGGCCGCUAGAUUAGUUCCCUGCUGUAUCGGUUUGCCGGUCAUGAACUUCACUUCCACUCUGAGAUACAGGUGUGGGUUUGCUUUUGGCUAUCCGAGCAGACUGAGGUCCAGCAUGGUUAUUGCUCAUCUUGUUUGAUACCAUCAAUCUCUUUGUUCACCUGAAGGUUGAUAUCUUGGUUUUAGGAUCAAUCCACUAAGGUUUGCUCGCAGUGGGCUUGUGUGGUUGGAGUGGCUGUUCUCAUAUUUUGGCAUCCUUAGUAGCUUUGUUUAAAUAUUUUUUAACAGCAUUUUAAUCUCUUAGUAUAAGCAAACCCUGAUCACUUUAUGAUCUUCAUUUUAUGGAGUUGCUGCUAUGCAUUCUUCUCUAAUCCCUCCCUCCCCAGUGGUGAAGUAGUUUUGUCGACAUGAUGGAAUUGUAAUAGCAGAACUCUAGACAUUCAAGUGCUCUGGUUUUGCAAAACCCAUUUUGGGAUGGAGGAUAUAAUCCCAUAUUGAACGGGCUGCGGGGCGCUUAACGCUUUCCUGCCAAAGAAUUUUUAACUCCUUUACCUGGCUUUGGAUUGUUUGAGGCAAAUACAAAAAUGAUGGAUUGUUUA